GUUGCAUGCUGUGACGUCUUUCAUCGAAUUUUAGCAGAAAAUUUACAUGGUAUUCUCUUAUCUUGGACAAUCAAUACGGCACAGAAGGGUGACAUGACACAAACAAACAGAGUGGGAGACUUUUGAAAAGAGUUUGGAUGGUGCCUGAUUAACCUUUGCUUUUAUUUUUGAGGUCCAUAUCAAGUCAGUUUGACAAAUCCGACAGAAUGACUGGAAAUUCUGGAAAGAGGACACUUUGACUUCACUAUGUCCAGUCCACUGAGACACAUCGAACCACUGAUGCAUGGUUUCCAUUCAUGUGGGCACAUAUGAAACUUUGUGCAAAAUUAAACAUAUUGGGAAAAAGGAGAUAAAUCUCGUGAUUAAUUAUAAUUAUUCGUGUUACAUUUUACAAUUUUGUACCUAGGAUUCAAGGUCACAGAUAAAAGCUGUUCAAGGGUGCAGUAAGUACAAGGCAAACUAUGUGGAACAGAAACGUUCAGUGGGAUGCACAAUAAGUAUGUUUACAAUUUACCACAUUAUUUUGUCUAACUUGUAUGACAUAGUAGUACAAUAAUACUUUUCUUACUUUUUUUUCCUUUCCAUUGAUUUAAUACUUUUCUUGCUUUUUUAAAAUUAAUUAAUUAAUUUUUAACAAGUAAACAGAAACGUCACUUCCUGCUGUUGAAAUAGUCGCAACUUUGAAAAGGAGUCAAAAGUUUUCUUAAUUGUGCAGCUGCGGACGGAACACGUUUUAUUUCAGCUGGAAAGCAUCGUUUUGAAGAAAUGUGUAAAGCGUCUUCAAAACAAGUGUUGUUUUUAAAGUUUAGCUCAUUACAUUAUUUUCAGAAGAAAACAUCUUUGUGCCUCAACUACGACACUGUUCCUUGGUGCACAUUAUUAUUCCAAUAGUUACACAGGACCGAAGGCCGCAAACUAAAGUUUACAACGCCACAACACCGCUGCUACUCAUUGCCGGAAACUGAGCAACGGAGUGGACCACCUGCUCCACAUUUAAAGUAGCCUACCAGCACCCUGUCAGGUCUUCAGGAGAUUUUAGAGAGGGAAGAGAAGGGAGAGAAAAAAGAAGAGAAAUGACUGUGCAAGGGUUUCAAAACCAGAUUUGCUCCUUAUGCAGUGGCCUCAUGGUGGUGGUGAAGCUCCUUCAGUGG